AGAUAGCCUGUAAAGCAGAGUACCCGUAGUCACCAUGCUGUUUAGAUAACAUGGGUGAGGGAAAGGGAGACAGAGAGGUGCUGUUAAGGCACUUUUGGAUCUUCCUGAUUCUGGGAUACUCCAGAGACUGAAGCAGCUGCUGGGCACUUGUUGAUGUUACUGCAGCCUUCUUGGGCUUGCCCAGAAACCAUGCAGCACUGUGCGCUGUGGUCCCACCCCUGAAACACUCCUCCCACCCCACCACCAUACUCCGCCUGUGCCAGAGUAUGUGCAGGGCUGUCUUCCACAGUUUUCAUAUCAGGACAAUGAUCCUCUAGCCAAAUAGGGUGCUCUUAGAGCACAUUUACACUAUAAAGGCCCUUUUACCCAGCAUCAAGAGGCCAGACUGGAGGUCAGGACCUCACCCAGGUAGCUGUGUCACAGAUCCACAGAAUCAGUGCUGUGCCCCCAGUUUUUAAACAGUCUCUUUGAGGAACCCCUUCAAUAUACCAGACCCUCAGGGGGUCCACUCUUCUCUCAGGGUAGGCUAUGCAGCCUCACCAUCUCCUGAGACAACCUCUAGGGCUUCAGCACUCUCACUUCACACUGUGAGCUCUGCUCAGCAAGUCCAACUGAGAGAGACUCCUGGUUAGAGACCUGUAUGCUCUUUCAAGGGACUAACACAUCUCAUCCAAUAUUUGCAGUGACACUCAAGCUGCAAUUUCAAAACUGUGGGGUUUACUAGUCGACUGGAACACAGCACUGGAAGUUAGCACACAGAAAUAAAGAUUAAAGCACAGUCCAUUCUGGUCAGCCCAGUGCAAUUCACCAGCCAAGCUUCAGUGAACUCCAUUUGCGGGCUGUCUCUCUCUCUGACCACCUUAGUCAGUUCCCAGGUGAGCGCGCCCAGGCUCCUUACAGAAGCCAAUUCUUCAUUCCUCCAUCUCACUCAUCUCAGCCUUUUGUUCUUGGGCUGGGGCCUCUGCUUAGCUUCCUUGCUGUGAGGCAGAGAAAAAUCUCUUUCUUCUAGGUCCUUGUUUGCUAGGUGUCCAGAUCCUGGUAACAGGGUUUUCCAUUGUCUUUUUGGAUUUUCCUCUGAUGUGGGUUGGCCUGGGCCAGUCCUUUUUAAUGACUCAUUCAGUCCGCUCAGCUAGGCAACGCUCACCCACACACCUAUAGCUCUUUAGCCUUCCAUAAAAGCAAGCUUAAUCCUUCCCAUCCUUCACUCGGUAGCCAGGACAAGUAUGAGGAAACUGAGGCACAAAUAGGAUUAAUGAAAAAAAAUAUUACAAAAAAUUCCCACUUUGUCACAGCAUGUCAUUCUGCUGCUGACCUUCCACUGCAUGACAUUUUGUCCAUUGGUUGGAUGGAAUAGGAUUUAGUAUAAAACUUGACAUCUUCUUAGCAUAUGUGCAAUGUACCUCAGGACCAGGAUUCAUCACUGAAUUUUGUGUGCUAGAUGGAUCAUUAGCUUUCCCAGCCUGGGCCAGGCACUGACAGGGUGUGUGAUGUGAACGCUGAUCCAUGCCCAGCAACAUCUUCUUGGAUGCAUCUUGUGAUAGUCGACUAUGAUGAAGUGUCUCCAGUUCAUACACGGGAUUUUUAGAGAUCAGUAUCCUGGGGCUGGAUUCAUAAGUGAAAAAAAAGAUGAAAUGAUCCAAACAAAUUAUUGCUCAAAUCUGGUAUGUUGAAAUACACAAUGAGAUCUUACUAGGACUGGAUAUUAGCCGGAAAAUAAGUCAACCAAAAAAAAGAUCUGGUGCAAGAUACGUUUGGAUAUGUAGAAUCCAAAACUAAAUAUGUUAUUUUAGUAGUAAUUGCCUUUGUUACCAUAAAAGUGGUAUUAAUAUGUUUGUAGAUGUAUUAUAUUAUGGAAAAACUCAAAUAUUUUAGAAGGAAUUAAAUUAGGAUUUAAAAAAAAUUCUCCCAGGAGGUGGAUUAAUAAUUUUCUUUCAGCAUUUUUGUCAAAAGGAUAUUAUAUAUAUCUCCUGCCCGAACUCAAAAAAAUGGUAUUGAAAUUUUUUAUUUGACUUAAUUUAUUAGAGUUUUCUCACAGGGCAUUGGGGAAUGGAACUAAAAGUACUACGUUCCUUGUAUACUGGCUUAGGGAUAGACACUUGGACAUCUUUAACUCCAUCCAUUGUGAGCUGUACAGCUGACUUCAAUGGAACUACUCACCGAGCCUAAAGUUAAAGACCUGUGCAAGUGUUCCGACAAAGUGGGUAUUCACCCAUGAAAGCUUAUACUCCAAUACGUCUGUUAGUCUAUAAGGUGCCACAAGACUCUUUGCCACCUGCGCAAGUGUUUGUAGAAUUGGGAUCCUAAUCAUUAAGAUUAAUAAAUUAAAUGAGUUAA